CUGCCCGUAGUUUAAUCGGGAUAGAGCUUCGAGCUUCGAACUCGGCCGUAUUGGUUCGACUCCAAUCGGGCAAG
rnacentral:tRNA from 1 species